UACAGAGGUGGCAAGCGUUGUUCGGAAUUACUGGGCGUAAAGGGCGCGUAGGCGGCCGCCUAAGUCAGACGUGAAAUCCCCAGGCUUAACUUGGGAACUGCGUCUGAUACUGGGUGGCUUGAGUUCGGGAGAGGAAUGUGGAAUUCCAGGUGUAGCGGUGAAAUGCGUAGAUAUCUGGAGGAACACCGGUGGCGAAGGCGGCAUUCUGGACCGAAACUGACGCUGAGGCGCGAAAGCGUGGGGAGCAAACAGG
rnacentral:rRNA from 1 species